UGCGUAGGCGGGCUAAUAAGUCAGUGGUGAAAUCCUGCAGCUUAACUGUAGAACUGUUAUUGAUACUGGUUUUCUUGAAUAUAGUUGAGGUAGGCGGAAUGUGUAAUGUAGCGGUGAAAUGCUUAGAUAUUACACAGAACACCGAUUGCGAAGGCAGCUUACUAAGCUAUGAUUGACGCUGAGGUACGAAAGCGUGGGGAGCGAACAGGAUUAGAUACCCUGGUAGUCC
rnacentral:rRNA from 1 species